UUCUAAUUAGUAUCCUAAAAGGGAGUCACCCAAGAUCCCUGAACAGUACUGUCAAAUUAAUAGUUUCCUCAGACCUUACAUAAUUAGACACUACUGAUUUAAAAUUAAUAUGUGUGGCAUAUUAAUAAUUAAUUAACACUUUCCCCUCAUCCUUAUACUUGGCAGUGCUCAUAAUGUGCGAAUGCCUAAAAGCUGGAGGAAGAAGCAAGUCUGUGAGAGAACCUGUGUUCCGGGUGUUCCCUGCUUCUCCACUCUUAGCACAGCUGAUUCAAACUCGUCAGGGUUUCUUCAACCAAGCACUUCUGCCAACAUCAGCUGGAUGUUCUGUCACUCAGCCGAACUCUGACGGUGUCUGCCUGGAGUUAUCAGUCCCACAAGUCAAGGACAACCUCCCACAGGACUACCUCACUUCUGACAACAGCUCCAAGACCCAGGCUUCCACCCGCACUUCUUAUUGACCAGGCAACAGCAUCUGGAGAGGAGAUGAGGCCAGGAAGGAAGAAAAGGCAAUCAAUGGAGGAUAUUGUCUUCGAGCCUAGAAGCCAUUGUGAAGAACAAACGUAUUUCCCAUGGAUACACUGCACAAUGGAUCUGCUUCUUCUGAGAGUCCCUCAGCUCUCUGAAACGGGAGCACCCACAGCUCGGAGUGUGUGUGUUUCUGCCUCAGCCACUUCCUUUUGGAUGGCCUCAUCUCAUCCUGUGGCUUUUGACUAUGAUCUCUAUGCCACCUUGCAACUUUUUUUCCUCCAAGCCCCAAACUUCUGGUGUUAAAAAUAAAAGCUUAAUCCCUG
rnacentral:lncRNA from 1 species